UGGCUCAGUGGUUAAGAGCACUGACUGAUCUUCCAGAGGUCCUGGGUUCAAUUCCCAG
rnacentral:tRNA from 1 species